rnacentral:lncRNA from 1 species
CUCCCAGUCUUGCACGCCCCCGCAGUCCCCCCAACCCGACCCCCGCCCCUUGUCACUACGUGUCGGGCUCGCUCUGCCUGGAGGGAGGCUGGGGUGCGGGGAAGCAGGGAGUGCAAACAGACAUUGGUUCUCUUUCCUCUUCCCAUUCAUACAUUUCUGUUGGAGUCCUAGGGCCGCCGCGCCGGGAGUCGCAAUGAAUGGAUGGAUGCCCGCGCGCUGGGACCACCAGGUCCGCAGAGAUGUCGCCGGCGCUAGGGGCGCUCCUCCCGCGUGGGGACAGGCGCCCUCGCCUAGGCGCAGUGUGGGGGGACCCCAAAAGACCCUUAAGAGGCCAAAGGCCUGCUCUCCCCGUUCUCCCCAACACACACCAGGGGUCUUUUCUGCCCCGGAGAAGUUGGGACGCAAAACGUAGGGAACUGCGCUCAGUCUCCGCACCACGAAGAGUCGAGAUGGGGACCGAGACCAGCACGGACGGUAGCAACAGAGAGGGGAGCGCCCAAGUGGCGCAACGUUGUGG